rnacentral:rRNA from 1 species
CCUACGGGUGGCAGCAGUGGGGGAUAUUGCACAAUGGGGGAGACCCUGAUGCAGCGACGCCGCGUGAAGGAAGAAGUAUUUCGGUAUGUAAACUUCUAUCAGCAGGGAAGAAAAUGACGGUACCUGACUAAGAAGCCCCGGCUAACUACGUGCCAGCAGCCGCGGUAAUACGUAGGGGGCAAGCGUUAUCCGGAUUUACUGGGUGUAAAGGGAGCGUAGGCGGUUUAGCAAGUCAGGAGUGAAAGCCCGGGGCUCAACUCCGGGACUGCUUUUGAAACUGUUGAACUAGAGUGCAGGAGAGGUAAGUGGAAUUCCUAGUGUAGCGGUGAAAUGCGUAGAUAUUAGGAGGAACACCAGUGGCGAAGGCGGCCUACUGGACUGAAAAUGACGCUGAGGCUCGAAAGCGUGGGGAGCAAACAGGAUUAGAUACCCUGGUAGUC